rnacentral:lncRNA from 1 species
CAGGCUCUCUACCUCUCUCGGUCUCUCUCCAUCUAGCUUGACCAGAGUUCGGUCUCUCUCCAGGAAUUGUGUGAUUUGACCAUUGCCGGCCCCCUCCUCCUCCUCUCUCGAUCUCUCUCCCUCUCGGGCUCGCUUGGUAGUCGGUAUGAUGAAUCUCUCUCUCCGACUCUCCCUCUGCUUUACUGCUUUAAGCCUUUAACAGAG